UACGGGGGGGGCAAGCGUUGUUCGGAAUUACUGGGCGUAAAGGGCGCGUAGGCGGCCUGCUAAGUCGGACGUGAAAUCCCUCGGCUCAACCGAGGAACUGCGUCCGAUACUGGUGGGCUUGAAUCCGGGAGAGGGAUGUGGAAUUCCAGGUGUAGCGGUGAAAUGCGUAGAUAUCUGGAGGAACACCGGUGGCGAAGGCGGCUAUCUGGGCUGCAACUGACGCUGAGGCGCGAAGGCUAGGGGAGCAAACAGG
rnacentral:rRNA from 1 species